rnacentral:siRNA from 1 species
GUGGCCGGAGACAUCCCUU